UAAUUGAAGAGUUUGAUCAUGGCUCAGAUUGAACGCUGGCGGCAGGCCUAACACAUGCAAGUCGAGCGGUAGCACAAG
rnacentral:rRNA from 1 species